AGAGUUUGAUUAUGGCUCAGGAUGAACGCUAGCUACAGGCUUAACACAUGCAAGUCGAGGGGCAGCAUUGGAGUAGCAAUACUCAGAUGGCGACCGGCGCACGGGUGAGUAACACGUAUCCAACCUGCCGCUUACUCGGGGAUAGCCUUUCGAAAGAAAGAUUAAUACCCGAUGGUAUAAAGAGUUCGCAUGUUCUCUUUAUUAAAGAAUUUCGGUAAGCGAUGGGGAUGCGUUCCAUUAGAUAGUUGGCGGGGUAACGGCCCACCAAGUCUACGAUGGAUAGGGGUUCUGAGAGGAAGGUCCCCCACAUUGGAACUGAGACACGGUCCAAACUCCUACGGGAGGCAGCAGUGAGGAAUAUUGGUCAAUGGACGAGAGUCUGAACCAGCCAAGUAGCGUGAAGGAUGACUGCCCUAUGGGUUGUAAACUUCUUUUAUAAGGGAAUAAAGUGAGGGACGUGUCCCUUUUUGUAUGUACCUUAUGAAUAAGGAUCGGCUAACUCCGUGCCAGCAGCAGC
rnacentral:rRNA from 1 species